rnacentral:rRNA from 1 species
GUCGAACGGCAGCACGGAGAGCUUGCUCUCUGGUGGCGAGUGGCGAACGGGUGAGUAAUAUAUCGGAACGUGUCCAAUAAUGGGGGAUAACUAGUCGAAAGAUUAGCUAAUACCGCAUACGCCCUGAGGGGGAAAGUGGGGGAUCUUCGGACCUCACGUUAAUGGAGCGGCCGAUAUCUGAUUAGCUAGUUGGUAGGGUAAAAGCCUACCAAGGCGACGAUCAGUAGCUGGUCUGAGAGGAUGAUCAGCCUCACUGGGACUGAGACACGGCCCAGACUCCUACGGGAGGCAGCAGUGGGGAAUUUUGGACAAUGGGCGCAAGCCUGAUCCAGCCAUGCCGCGUGAGUGAAGAAGGCCUUCGGGUUGUAAAGCUCUUUCGCAAGGAAAGAAAACUUACAUGUAAAUAAUGUGUGAGGUUGACGGUACCUUGAUAAGAAGCACCGGCUAACUACGUGCCAGCAGCCGCGGUAAUACGUAGGGUGCAAGCGUUAAUCGGAAUUACUGGGCGUAAAGCGAGCGCAGGCGGUUUUGUAAGUCAGAUGUGAAAGCCCCGGGCUCAACCUGGGAACUGCGUUUGAAACUACAAGGCUAGAGUAUGGGAGAGGGGGGUAGAAUUCCACGUGUAGCAGUGAAAUGCGUAGAGAUGUGGAGGAAUACCAAUGGCGAAGGCAGCCCCCUGGCCUAAUACUGACGCUCAGGCUCGAAAGCGUGGGGAGCAAACAGGA